rnacentral:rRNA from 1 species
GACAGAGGGUGCAAACGUUGUUCGGAAUUACUGGGCGUAAAGCGCGUGUAGGCGGCCAUCUAAGUCGGGCGUGAAAUCCCACGGCUCAACCGUGGAAGUGCACUCGAAACUGGAUGGCUAGAGUCCUGGAGAGGAAGGUGGAAUGCUUGGUGUAGAGGUGAAAUUCGUAGAUAUCAAGCGGAACACCGGUGGCGAAGGCGGCCUUCUGGACAGUGACUGACGCUGAGACGCGAAAGCGUGGGGAGCAAACGGG